UGGGGAAUUUUGGACAAUGGGCGAAAGCCUGAUCCAGCAAUGCCGCGUGAGUGAAGAAGGCCUUCGGGUUGUAAAGCUCUUUUGUCAGGGAAGAAACGGUGAGAGCUAAUAUCUUUUGCUAAUGACGGUACCUGAAGAAUAAGCACCGGCUAACUACGUGCCAGCAGCCGCGGUAAUACGUAGGGUGCAAGCGUUAAUCGGAAUUACUGGGCGUAAAGCGUGCGCAGGCGGUUAUGCAUGACAGAUGUGAAAUCCCCGGGCUCAACCUGGGAACUGCAUUUGUGACUGCAUAGCUGGAGUGCGGCAGAGGGGGGUAGAAUUCCACGUGUAGCAGUGAAAUGCGUAGAUAUGUGGAGGAACACCGAUGGCGAAGGCAGCCCCCUGGGUCAAGAUUGACGCUCAUGCACGAAAGCGUGGGGAGCAAACA
rnacentral:rRNA from 1 species